UAGAGUAACACGUACUUAACAUGCCCUCUAGAUUGGAAUAACRAUUAGAAAUGAUCGCUAAUGCCGGAUACUUAUUUCCUUCGCAUGAAGGAUAUAUAAAAGGAGCGUUUGCUUCGCUAGAGGAUUGGGGUGCGUAACAUUAGCUAGUUGGUAGGGUAAUGGCCUACCAAGGCUAUGAUGUUUAGCGGGGUUGAGAGACUGAUCCGCCACACUGGGACUGAGAUACGGCCCAGACUCCUACGGGAGGCAGCAGUAGGGAAUUUUCCACAAUGGACGAAAGUCUGAUGGAGCGACACAGCGUGCAGGAUGACGGCCUUCGGGUUGUAAACUGCUGUUAUAAGGGAAGAAAAAAUAAAGUAGGAAAUGACUUUAUCUUGACGGUACCUUGUCAGAAAGCAACGGCUAACUAUGUGCCAGCAGCCGCGGUAAUACAUAGGUUGCAAGCGUUAUCCGGAAUUAUUGGGCGUAAAGCGUCUGUAGGUUGUUUGUUAAGUCUGACGUGAAAACUUGGGGCUCAACCCCAAAUUGCGUUGGAUACUGGCAAACUAGAGUUAUGAAGAGGUUAGCGGAAUUCCUUGUGAAGCGGUGAAAUGCGUAGAUAUAAGGAAGAACACCAACUUGGCGAAGGCAGCUAACUGGGCAUACACUGACACUGAGAGACGAAAGCGUGGGGAGCAAACAGGAUUAGAUACCCUGGUAGUCCACGCUGUAAACGAUGAUGAUUAGCUGAUGGGGAACUCAUCGGCACAGCUAACGCAUUAAAUCAUCCGCCUGAGUAGUAUGCUCGCAAGAGUGAAACUUAAAGGAAUUGACGGGGAUCCGCACAAGCGGUGGAGCAUGUGGUUUAAUUUGAAGAUACGCGUAGAACCUUACCCACUCUUGACAUCUUUCGCAAAGCUAUAGAGAUAUAGU
rnacentral:rRNA from 1 species